rnacentral:rRNA from 1 species
UGCGGAAGGAUCAUUAUUGAGAGCGGGGCUUCGCGCCCCGGGCGGCUUCACCGCCGCCCACCUCUUCACCCUGUGUGUAAUCUACCUUCGUUGCUUUGACGGGCCUUAAGGGGGCAACCCCAUGCUGUUCGCGGGCUUUGUUGCCCGGGUCGGCGAGUGCCCGUCAGAGGCCCAAUCAAACUCGUUUUAUCAGUGACGUCCGAGUAAAAAUAUAAUGAUCAAAAUUUUCAACAACGGAUCUCUUGGUUCUGGCAUCGAUGAAGAACGCAGCGAAAUGCGAUAAGUAAUGUGAAUUGCAGAAUUCAGUGAAUCAUCGAAUCUUUGAACGCACAUUGCGCCCCUCGGUAUUCCGGGGGGCAUGCCUGUUCGAGCGUCAUUACACCCCUCAAGCAUAGCUUGGUUUUGAGCCUUCGCCCCCGUGGCGGGCCCGAAAAUCAGUGGCGGUCCGGCGUGACUUCGAGCGUAGUAAACCUUCUCCCGCUUUGGAAGCGCGCGCCGUCGACCUGUCAGAACGCCCGACUUUUUUAAUGAU